rnacentral:rRNA from 1 species
AGAGUUUGAUCCUGGCUCAGAACGUACGCUGGCGGCACGCCUAACACGUGCAAGUCGAACGAAGUAGCAAUACUUAGUGGCAGACGGGUGAGUAACAUGUGGGUAUCUACCCUUUGGCCUGGAAUAACACGAGGAAACUUGUGCUAAUACCGGAUAAGUCUUUACGGAGAAAGCUUUAUGCACCAUUGGAUGAGCCCGCACUUGAUUAGUUUGUUGGUAGGGUAAUGGCCUACCAAGACUAUGAUCAAUAGCUGAUUUGAGAGGAUGAUCAGCCACAUUGGGACUGAGACACGGCCCAAACUCCUACGGGAGGCAACAGUGGGGAAUCUUGCACAAUGGAGGAAACUCUGAUGCAGCGAUGCCGCGUGAGUGAAGAAGGCCUUUGGGUUGUAAAGCUCUUUCGUCGGGGAAGAAAAUGACUGUACCCGAAUAAGAAGGUCCGGCUAACUUCGUGCCAGCAGCCGCGGUAAUACGAAGGGACCUAGCGUAGUUCGGAAUUACUGGGCUUAAAGAGUUCGUAGGUGGUUGAAAAAGUUGGUGGUGAAAUCCCAGAGCUUAACUCUGGAACUGCCAUCAAAACUUUUCAGCUAGAGUAUGAUAGAGGAAAGCAGAAUUUCUAGUGUAGAGGUGAAAUUCGUAGAUAUUAGAAAGAAUACCAAUUGCGAAGGCAGCUUUCUGGAUCAUUACUGACACUGAGGAACGAAAGCAUGGGUAGCGAAGAGGAUUAGAUACCCUCGUAGUCCAUGCCGUAAACGAUGUGUGUUAGACGUUGGAAAUUUAUUUUCAGUGUCGCAGGGAAACCGAUAAACACACCGCCUGGGGAGUAC